AGUGAACGCUGGCGGUAGGCCUAACACAUGCAAGUCGAACGGCAGCACAGUAAGAGCUUGCUCUUACGGGUGGCGAGUGGCGGACGGGUGAGGAAUACAUCGGAAUCUACUUUUUCGUGGGGGAUAACGUAGGGAAACUUACGCUAAUACCGCAUACGACCUACGGGUGAAAGCAGGGGAUCUUCGGACCUUGCGCGAUUGAAUGAGCCGAUGUCGGAUUAGCUAGUUGGCGGGGUAAAGGCCCACCAAGGCGACGAUCCGUAGCUGGUCUGAGAGGAUGAUCAGCCACACUGGAACUGAGACACGGUCCAGACUCCUACGGGAGGCAGCAGUGGGGAAUAUUGGACAAUGGGCGCAAGCCUGAUCCAGCCAUACCGCGUGGGUGAAGAAGGCCUUUGGGUUGUGAAGCCCUUUUGUUGGGAAAGAAAAGCAGCAGGUUAAUACCCCGCUGUUCUGACGGUACCCAAAGAAUAAGCACCGGCUAACCUCGUG
rnacentral:rRNA from 1 species